rnacentral:lncRNA from 1 species
GUUAAACAAGUGCUUGAAGGCAGUAUGCUUGGUAAAAGUCAUCACCACUCUCUAAUCUCAAGUACCCAGGGACACGAUACACUGCGGAAGGCCGCAGGGAUCUCUCCCUAGGAAAGCCAGGCUUGCGUGAAGGAAAUGAUUUCCUAUGAUUCUGCUUACUGCUUAAAAAAAUUAAUCAAGUUUUCUGCCUGACAAGAUCCAGUAUCUGCUGGAGGAGCCCCACCUUCUGCUACUAUUAUGUUCUUCAGAUGAGUAGAAGAGAGUGGGGAGGCAGAGAGCAGGAAGAAGAAAGGAAGAAUAAUGUCUCGAAAUUGUUUUCUAAGGAUAAUGGUCUCCAGCUUCAUCCAUGUUCCUGCAAAGGACAUGAUGCUGACUUUGAAGAUGCAAGCUUCCACAUCUACAGCCUCAAGGAAACAAAUUCAGCCAACCAACUGAGGGAGCUUUCCUUGUCCUGCCUCAAGAUGAGAUCACAGUCUGCCCAACACCAUGAUUUAAGCCUUGUGACACCUGGUGUGGAAGACCCAGUUAAGUUCUCUCCAAACUCCUGACCCACAGAACCUGUGAGAAAAUAUAUGGAUAUUAUUUUAAACUGCUAAAUUUGUGGUAAUUUGUUAUGCAGCAAUAAAAAACUAAUGCAAGGAGAUAUCGAUUAUUGUAAAAAUCUUAGCUUUUGUUUUAAAAUAUAGUUCACCAGUAGUAAGUUACUAAUAAGUAACUAAACAAAUAAAAGCAAGCCAUUUACAAAUCAAUAAUAAGAGUAAGUCAUGAACUAAAGAUUGUAAUUAAUCAAUUUCUGUACGCCUGUAAUGAAAAUAAAGGAGGAAAAGAAAA